UGCCGUGGGCUUGCUAGAAAGGCUCUUUACCUAAAUGUGACCACACGAGGCACAACAGCGCUGUGCACUCUGUUUCCGCUGCUGCCUUCCCUUGAGCAGUUAGUUGAGGGAAAAAAUCAAUGUAAAAUGUUUAGAUCUCGUUUUAGAAACAAAAACUGACGUCAGGGCUCAACAUGAAGAGCUGCUCCAUUCAGGUGCCUUGGGGUGGGGGGCAGGGAGGCAGUCAUGUGGGAAAUGAAGUUAAACAGGAAGCUCAAACCCAUUGAGCUAUUUUGUGACUUUGGAAAAGUGAUUUGGUUUCUUAAAUCUGUAAAAUGAGAUGUUUGUUACCUCUCAGGUUGUUGUGGGGGUGAAAUAAGUCAGCCAAAGUAAGUGUUGAAGUUCUGCCUUCUAGAGCAAACCUGCUCCACUGAGGAAGGCUGAUGUUCUAGUUGGAGCGGUGGUCUCUCCGUAGUGGGUGCCGGGAGGAUGGGCCUGCCCUUACCAGCUACUCACUGGCCCUCGUUUGCAGACAGAGGUCUUUUUCUGUAAACUUUGGAUGCAGAGUUUUGAAUUAAUUCUAUUUCCUCUGUACACAGGUUCACUCUCACUAAGCGUGAAGGACUCCCUGGUUUUAAUUUUGCUCCUCCAGCCUGUUUUCUAACAUUCUUCUCACACAGGUCCCCAUUCUCUUGUGUUUGACACAUCUUGAAAUCUGUAUCCUAGGAAAAAGAUGUCAUGCUUCACAUGGGCCAGAAACUACUUCCAGCCUCCCAUGAGACCAAGGUAUGGUCGUGUGGCUGAAUUUGGGCCAACAGUUGUGAGCCGAGGUGAUGGAUGCAAGUGAAGUUCAGAUCAUCUCCAAUUGUGAGACAAGAGUCAUUUUUAGAAUCUGCCCCUUUUUCCUCUCACCAGCUGGAAGUGACGGAUUGGCCCCUGUCGCCCAUGCAGAUGAGGCUAACACCUUAGGGGACAGCCAACCAAUGGUGUGAGAAGAAACCAGGGUCACAAAAUUAAAUCAUGGAGAAGAGCUGCCCUGAACACCCAUGCGGGCUGGACUGUUAGGUGAAAGAAGUUGAAGGCCCUGUGCUGCGGAGUUUCUGUUGUAGGAGCGCAGUUUAUAAUAGUGUCGAACCCAUGAUAACACUAAUAUGACAUGGCAUGAUGCAAAUUUAUUUAAGCUACAAUUAGCAGUUGCUGUUUAUUUAUUUAUUUAUUUAUUCAUUCAUUCAUUCAUUCAUUCAUUCAUUCAUUCAUUUAUGAAUGACAGAGGGAGCCAGAGCACAACGCGGGACUCGAUCCCAGGACCCUGAGAUCAUGACCUGAGCCGAAGGCAGAUGCUUAACCGACUGAGCCACCCAGGUGCCCCCUAGCAGUUGCUGUUUCUUAUCUUCCCUCUUGUCCCUGUUCUCAACCUGAGUACAGACUGAAAACGAAUGUUUUAGUUGGCAACUUUACAACACGUCUGCUAAUUAUUUGGCCCUCCUCCCACAGAGAGGUGGGGUCUACCUUCCCUCUCCUUGAAGCUGGGUUGGCCUUAGUGACUUGCUCAUAACCAACAAAAAAGCAACAGGAGUGACACCACUGACUUCCGAGAAGCAUCGUAAAAUGCAAUCCGGCUCCUACCCUGCUUCCUUGGACACUUGACCAUCUAAGAAUUCUGACUUCUCUAGGAGGUCACGCUAUAAGACAGCCCAGGCCGCGCGGAGAAGUCACUGUACGUGCUCUGGUUGACGGUCCCAGCUGAGGCCCCAGUCAGCAGCCAGCACCAGUCACCAGCGUCCGAGGACACCACCUUGCAUGUCCAGUCCAGUUGAGUCUUCAGACCACUGCAGUACCCACUGACAGCUGAUUGCAACCAUCUGGCAAGUGCCAAGCAAAACCGACCCAGGUAGAGAUCCCGAGAGCUCGCCCCAGUGAAAGACUUGCAUGAAGAUUUCCAUCUCAGUUUGUGCUCCAGAGAAGCAUAACGAACUACUGGUGCCAGGAAUGGUCCAAGGAAGGAGAUUCUUAACUGGGUCACCAGCUGGCCUGUUGUCGGAAUUGGCUCAUGCAAUUGUGGGCAGCUGGGAACAGGUAGGCUGGAGGCCUACAGAAGAGUUGAUGUCGCAGACUCUAGUCUGAAGGCAGUACUGAGGCAGAGUUCCCGCUUCCUUGGGGCAUCUCAAUCUUUGCCUCUUAAGGCCUGCAGCUGAUUGAAUGAGGCUCACCUGAUUCAUUCCCAUGGCACCAACUCAAGAUUCAAAAGGGUAUUUAGGCAAAGUAACAUAAUAUCUUGGAGAUUUGAAUGAAGCUGAAUUAAGCUGAAGCUGCCUUGUGUUUGUAUGGCUGCAGAAUAUUCUGUUGUACGAAUAUGCUGUAAUUUACUUAGUCCCUCAUCUAGAUUGUUUCCAGUCUUGUGUAGUAAAGACAAUCUGGUUGUAAAUAUCCUUGUACACACAUUUCCCCUGCAUUUCUUUCUUUCUUCUAAAAGGUUUUAUUUAUUUGUUUAUUUUUUUAUUUAGAGAGUGUGCAUGAGUUGGCGGGGGGGCAGAGGGAGAAGGAGAGAGAGAAUCUCAAGCAGACCCUGUGCUGAGCGAGGAGCCCAACGCAGGGCUUUAUCUCACGACCCUGAGAUCAUGACCCGAGCCAAAAUCAAGAGUCAGAGGCUUAACUGGCUGAGUCCUCCAGGCACAAGCUCCUGCCUUUCUUUAAGAAAAAUUCCUAGAGAUAGAAUUACUAGGUCAAAGGGUAUGUGUGUUUGGAAUAUUGACAUAUUAGCAAAUUAUCCUCCAUAGAGGACAUGCCAGUUAACACACCUACAACUGGUGGUUUUCAGUUCCAACUUACAAAUGUAUAAAUAAGAUAUCACAGGAGAUAUUUUCAUAUCACAUACAUGAUAUCAGGGUAUUAUACUGGCUGAUCCAGUCUCUCCUUUUCUCCCAUUGCCCAGUGGCCAACCACCAGCAUCUGGAAGUCGGCUGCCUGGGUGUAAUCUGAAGAAAGGGAACCAAGUGAAGGCAACUCGCCAAUGGAGAGGACCAGCCCCGAGCUUCACCUAGUACCAUUUGCUCUGAUCAAGUACCAAAGUAUUCGACUCCUCUUGGUGACUUGCCCAAGCUCACAUGGUUCUUAGGUGUCAGGAGUAUACCUCGAACUCUCAUUCAAGUUCUUGUUCGACUCUUGAUUUCCUGUGACCCUCAGGGGCAGAGAUUUGUGACGGUGUCUGAGCUAAUUUAUCUACAUCGCUGACAAGCUGGUUCUUGUGCAUUGUUUUGCACAGUGCCUGGUACCUAGUGAGCGCUCAAGCAAACAUUCUGCUGCUUUUGGGGGUGUGGCACAGGUGGCUGGGUGGUGGGGAACUGGAGGGACUGGGAGGAGUUGGAAGUCACUGGGACUGGAGGGGAAGCACCAGAGACCGCUUGCAUGACGCACCCACCCCCCCACACACACACCUCGUCCUUGCAGCCAUGGAAUCCAGGCAGUUCCAGCUCCGAGGCUGCAUUUGAGUCAUGGGGGCAGAUGAGCAUUUUUCUUAAUUGAGCAAGAGCUAAUGAGAGCUCUAUUUCUUUGAAUCUGCCCAUUGAACGAGAACAAACACUAAUUACCGCUGGGCUGGAAAGGCCAGAUACAAUUUACCAAAUGAGAGGGCAUCUUCCCCCAACGGUUAGAAAACAGUGCGCCGAGGGCCGCAGGCUCUCCGGCGGGGAGAGGCCAGCCCUGGCUGCCGCGUUAACUACAGAGCAAAGGCCCCAUAAACUGGGAGCUGCGGGGAAGCAAUUAAACAUGGCGCUGCCCCUGCAGCCAUGUUCCAGCAGCUGCCUGGGUCGGGAGCGGUCAGGGCUCAGCGACUCGCAGGACGACUGGGGAAUGAGAAUGUGCUGCUUUUCUCUGCGGGCGCGAGGAAGGCCCCGGUGGGGGAGCCGGUCUCUCCUGAGUCGGGUGGGAUUUGGAGCUCGGGGUGCCUAGCCUCCCCGCCCAGCGCCCCAGCCAGCACCCCCAUGGCCCACUGAUGGAGGCAGUUAGGCGCAUUGGACCCAGCCGGUGGGAAAUCUCGACUCCAGGGGAAGCAAGAGGUGUCUGGCUUCUUCUUUUUAACCGUAAAUGCAACCUACUAUUUCACACAUUACAGCUCCCAUUCCACCGAAUGCCCACUUUUCCUCCUCCACUGUGGGAGCCCAGAGAGUAUUUCUAUGUCUUUGGGGCUCAGUGAAGUUGGUGGUUAUCCUGAAUAUGUGAGAUGGUGUAGUCAGCCGGGCUUAUAAUAAAAGCAUAAGCCCUGGGGCACCUGGGUGGCUCAGGUCAUGAUCCCAGGGUCCUGGGAUCGAGUCCCGCAUUGGGCUUCCUGCUUGGCAGGAAGCCUGCUUCUCCCUCUCCCACGCCCCCUGCUUGUGUUCCUGCUCUCGCUCUCUCUCUCUCUCUCUCUCUCUG